CUCACCAGUGACCAUUCUCACCCAAAUUGGUUACUGAGCUACAUUUCUCCCUCUCCGUCACGAAUGUGACCACCACCGCACAACACAACACCCUUUUCGUUCACGACGUCAUCGUCUUGUUUGUGUUUUUGCUAAGAGAAACUUUGAAGGCAUGCUUAUAAUUUUAUGGUCCUAGUGCAACUUUUUAUCAGGACUCUUCUGGUUUUUAAUUCUGUCCUUUUGAAAAGUUUUAAUUUUAGAAUUUUAGAUUAUUAUCAAUAACUAUUUGCGGUUGGGGUAUUAUUGCUUCUAAAUUCAAGGAUAAAACUACAAGACAGAGCAGAAGGAAGUGAGGAAUUUAGAAAACAAUAGACUAGAAGGUCCGUUACCACAGACAUUGAACAAGCCUACUUUAGAGAUCAGGCUCAGAAACUAUUUGGUAACCGGUGGACAGAAAUAUCAAAUAUCAAAGGUGGUUCUAGGGAGAACGGUUUUAUCCUUGAAUUUAGAAGCAAUAAUAUCCCAACUGCAAGAUUAUUAUCAAUUAUUAAGAGGUGGAGCAUUGGUUUAGCAUGCAAGUAAGAGAGCCACCUCAAUAGAAAAAUACCUUUGAGAGACAAAUCAAAGACAUAAAGAAAUAGAAAGAACAAUGUAACAGAAAAUCUAGGAAGAAGGGUCAUAUUGUAACUUGGACUCAAGAGGGAAAGUGAAGGAUCGUUUGAUUUUGCUAACUAUUGGGGGGAAGUUGAAGAUAUACAUUCUGUAAUCCAACAUUUUCGCGAAGAAAACCGUACGGUUAGCGCAAUUAUUGGACACAGCAAAGGAGCUAAUGGAGUGCUUCUAUAAUUAUAAAAUCAGGAAUAACAACCGAUUUAGUGACUAAUUUAGAUUUUUAGUUCAGGAAUUAUCAACUAAUUUAGCGAUCGAUUUUAAAUUUUCAAAUCAGGCAUUGGAGACCGAUUUCAUGGCAACCGAUUUAACGAAUGAAAAGUGGGUCGCCAUUUAGCGACCGAUUUACUCAACGACCGAUUUAGCGACGGAAAAUUUGGUCACCAUUUAGCGGCCGAUUAUGUUAGCGACCGAUACUCUUUGGUAAGAGUUUGGUGACCUUGUUCAAAAAUCGGUCGCUAUUUUCUAAUUAACGACUAAGGUUUUAGCGACCACCAGAAUCGGUCGCUAAAUCGGUCGCUAUUCCGAUAAUUUCUUGUAGUGAAUCUUUUUUAUAUUUAUAAUCAAAUUUUAUAAAUGUAACUAGAUUCACAUUUGUGAUCAAAGU